CCGCCGCCUCCCGCCGCCAGCUUUGGCGGCGGCGGCGGGUACCGCCCCGUCGUGCGAAAGGUGAUCGUGGAUCCAGAUAACGUUGACCCCGACAACUAGAGGCGACGC
rnacentral:sRNA from 1 species